GAUGAACGCUGGCGGCGUGCCUAAUACAUGCAAGUCGAGCGAACAGAUGAGGGGCUUGCUCCUCUGACGUUAGCGGCGGACGGGUGAGUAACACGUGGAUAACCUACCUAUAAGACGGGGAUAACUUCGGGACACCGGAGCUAAUACCGGAUAAUAUAUUGAACCGCAUGGUUCACUAGUGAAAGACGGUUUUGCUGUCACUUAUAGAUGGAUCCGCGCCGCAUUAGCUAGUUGGUAAGGUAACGGCUUACCAAGGCAACGAUGCGUAGCCGACCUGAGAGGGUGACCGGCCACACUGGAACUGAGACACGGUCCAGACUCCUACGGGAGGCAGCAGUAGGGAAUCUUCCGCAAUGGGCGAAAGCCUGACGGAGCAACGCCGCGUGAGUGAUGAAGGUCUUCGGAUCGUAAAACUCUGUUAUUAGGGAAGAACAAAUGUGUAAGUAUCUAUGCACGUCUUGACGGUACCUAAUCAGAAAGCCACGGCUAACUACGUG
rnacentral:rRNA from 1 species